rnacentral:rRNA from 1 species
GUCCUACGGGAGGCAGCAGUGGGGAAUAUUGCACAAUGGGGGAAACCCUGAUGCAGCGACGCCGCGUGAGUGAAGAAGUAUUUCGGUAUGUAAGGCUCUAUCAGCAGGGAAGAAAAUGACGGUACCUGACUAAGAAGCCCCGGCUAACUACGUGCCAGCAGCCGCGGUAAUACAUAGGGGGCAAGCGUUAUCCGGAUUUAUUGGGUGUAAAGGGUGCGUAGACGGAGAAACAAGUUGGUUGUGAAAUCCCUCGGCUCAACUGAGGAACUGCAACCAAAACUAUUUCCCUUGAGUGUCGGAGAGGA